GUUUGAUCAUGGCUCAGGAUGAACGCUGGCGGUAUGCUUUAUACAUGCAAGUCGUACGAGAGUUUUUAACUCAAGUGGCGGACGGGUGAGUAACACGUAAGAAUUUGCCUUUAGGAGGGGGAUAACAACUGGAAACGGUUGCUAAUACCCCAUAUGCUUUUGAGUGAAAUGGAUUUUUCCGCCUAAAGAGAAGCUUGCGGCUGAUUAGCUUGUUGGUAAGGUAAUGGCUUACCAAGGCGACGAUCAGUAUCUGGUUUGAGAGGACGAUCAGACACACUGGAACUGAGACACGGUCCAGACUCCUACGGGAGGCAGCAGUAGGGAAUUUUCCGCAAUGGGCGAAAGCCUGACGGAGCAAUACCGCGUGAGGGAUGACGGCCUAUGGGUUGUAAACCUCUUUUUUCAGGGAGGAACAAAAUGACGUGUACCUGAAGAAUAAGCAUCGGUUAACUCCGUGCCAGCAGCCGCGGUAAGACGGAGGAUGCAAGUGUUAUCCGGAAUCACUGGGCGUAAAGCGUCUGUAGGUGGUCAAAUAAGUCAACUGUUAAAUCUUGAGGCUCAACCUCAA
rnacentral:rRNA from 1 species